rnacentral:snRNA from 1 species
GGAUAUGAAAGCAAUCUGGCUGUGGCAUCUGUCACCCCACUGAUGACCAGCAUUGAUUCAGUUUGUCUGGCUAGGUGAGUAUCCUCCUCCUCCCUAACUGCUCCAUGUGCCAUGUGCAUUCCUCCCAAAGUUGCAGGCUUGGUCAAAGUGGAUGACCUUCCCCAAUAGAGGAGGACUGUUAUUUGGUCAAGGGUAUAUGAGUGCUCCCCUGCUAGAACCUCCGAACGAGCUUUGAAAAUACAAGAGACCAAAGCCCUCACCACCAGAGGAUUGUGAAACAGCAGACUAAGUC